rnacentral:rRNA from 1 species
CACGUAGGGGGCGAGCGUUGUCCGGAAUCAUUGGGCGUAAAGAGCUCGUAGGUGGCUUUGUCACGUCGGGUGUGAAAGCUUGGGGCUUAACUCCAGGUCUGCAUUCGAUACGGGCUGGCUAGAGGUAGGUAGGGGAGAACGGAAUUCCUGGUGUAGCGGUGAAAUGCGCAGAUAUCAGGAGGAACACCGGUGGCGAAGGCGGUUCUCUGGGCCUUACCCGACGCUGAGGAGCGAAAGCGUGGGAGCGAACGGG